rnacentral:rRNA from 1 species
CCUACGGGAGGCAGCAGUGGGGAAUAUUGGACAAUGGGGGGAACCCUGAUCCAGCCAUGCCGCGUGUGUGAAGAAGGCCCUCGGUUUGUAAAGCACCUUCAGUGAGGAAGAACGCCUGGUGGUUAAUACCCAUCAGGAAAGACAUCACUCACAGAAGAAGCACCGGCUAACUCCGUGCCAGCAGCCGCGGUAAUACGGAGGGUGCGAGCGUUAAUCGGAAUUACUGGGCGUAAAGCGCGCGUAGGUGGCUUGAUAAGCCGGUUGUGAAAGCCCCGGGCUCAACCUGGGAACGGCAUCCGGAACUGUCAAGCUAGAGUGCAGGAGAGGAAGGUAGAAUUCCCGGUGUAGCGGUGAAAUGCGUAGAGAUCGGGAGGAAUACCAGUGGCGAAGGCGGCCUUCUGGACUGACACUGACACUGAGGUGCGAAAGCGUGGGUAGCAAACAGGAUUAGAUACCCUAGUAGUC